rnacentral:tRNA from 1 species
GCGCCCGUAGCUCAGUUGGAUAGAGUACUUGGCUACGAACCAAGGGGUCGGGAGUUCGAAUCUCUCCGGGCGCG